rnacentral:pre_miRNA from 1 species
UCUCAUGCUGUGACCCUCUAGAAGGAAGCGAGUUCUGUGUUCUGAACAAAAGUACUCGCAGCCCUCUAGAGCGUUACCGUUUGAGG